GUUUCUAAUGGUAAGACAAUUGGAAGCAGAACGUCUUUUGUUCCACCACCAUUCAGCAGUUCCUUCUCCUCCACUGGUAUACCUGCUUCAUCUGUAGUUUCGGAAGCUCUGCAGGUUUCUCCUGGAAGGGUUCUGGUUCCUGCAAUUGUUGAUCAGGCUCAGGGACAAGCACUAGCUGCUUCCAAUUGUCUUACCAUUAGAAAC
rnacentral:misc_RNA from 1 species